AUCCGAGCAACCAAAUGUAAAGUCUAUACAAAAUGACACAAGAUAAUUUCAAGGGAAUAGUUCUGAUCCAUGAUGGCAUCAGGUCAAUAGCUCUUGGAAAGAUGGCACCUGAGUUGGGUUGUAAGGAAUUGGUGAUCAUGCAAAAGAAAGGCUGGAUUUCCUCCAAGGGUUUGAAGUUAUAAGAGUAAGCCUGAGGGGUCUACAUUUCAAGUUAUAUACAGAUUUCGCAGUGUGAAAAGACUUAGAGAACAAGCUUUUCACUAAGAAGGUGGCUUGCCAUCCCAACUUUUGAAAGCAUAUGAUAUAGAGUGCUCAACUUGAAAGUCAAGAAGGAAGAACUGAAUUAAAAUCUUGCCUCUAAUGUUUACUAGCUGAGAAACCAUAGGAAUUUUCUACCAGAUUCCCAACUUCCUGGUGCCCACAGAUGUUUGAGCAAAGGGAACUGAUGCCCAGACCAACAACUAAUUCUGCAAAACUCCCAGGAUUGAAGAGGGAAAAAAAUCUUACAGAUGAACACUGACUGCCAAGUUCUGGGAAAGAGAAAUUGGGAAGCAUGCAAAAGGCAGAAGCAAUGGCUGAGUGGUGACCUGUCAGUCAAACUAGAGGUUCUGAUUUGGAAUGUUACCAGGAAAACAGUUGAAGGCAAAGCCAAUGGCUAGCUGAACUAUGGGUAUUUUCCUGUUACCUUGUAUCAGGAAAGGAGGAAGACAGAAAGAAGUAGUGGUCCCUGGUGUCUUUGAAGGCAGAAGAAAAAAGGACAAUAGUCCAGGUGCUGAUACAAUGAGAAGACAUCAUCAGGUACCUAGAGGAUGGUGGAUAGUAUUUAAUAGGAUAGUAUUUAAUAUUAUAUAAAUACCUGCAAGAAUGGAGAGUUGAAUUGAGUUUUAGACAUACACAGCCUCUCUCCUUAGUGGGCUGUAUGAAAAGUGGUGAAAAUAAUUGCAAUAAACACUGAUGGGACAAAAGUUCUAAGUUAUUCUGAAUCCUUUAGGGGAACCACAGUUAUAUUAAGGGGAAGCUAGGUGGCACAAUGGAUAAAGUGCCAGUUCUAGAGGCAAGAAGACUUCAGAUUAUUGAAUUCAAAUCUGGUUUCAGACACUUAUUAGCUAUGUGUCCCUGGCCAAGUCACUUAACUCUGUUGGUUUCAGCUUCCUCAUUUGUAAAAUGAUCAGGAGAAGGAAAUAACAAACCACACCAAUAUCUUUGCCAAGAAAGCCCCAAAUGGGGUCAUGAAGAGUCAGACAUGACUGAAAAAAAUACAACUGAACAACAAUUAUAGUAAAAGGGCAUAAGAGAGUAUUGAUUCACAGCAAUUAGUAGAGUAUUAUGCUCACAAGUAUAGGUCAUUAAAAGAUGCCAUUUAGUGAUGGAGUGAUUUGGCUGUCCCCUUUAACUACUUCCUUUACACUACAUGCUUCUCCAAGUAUAUAAUCUCCUCUCACCAUGAAGUGGUUGCAAUGAAGCCCUUCCUUCUGGCCUCUAUGUACCAUGGAAACCCAACUGUGUGGAUGCUGGGUAAUCUCUUUUUCCUAUAAUUAGGCAUAAAGAGAAAGGUGGUGAUAAAGUAUAAGUUUUCUCCCCAUUUGCUGAAAGUACCCAGUGUGAGAAAAUUCAACAUCAACUCUGAACUCUUUUUGUCUUAUAUGUCAUUCUUUGAGUUCUGUGUGAAAUGAUCUGAGAGUCUUCUCUAUUUGAAUGACUUUGAAAUUUCUAACCCUAACUUGUAUAUCUCUCCUAUAACCCAGCCCCACAUUCCUGAUUAUCUACUGAAUAUCUUUGCUUAGAUAGUCUGUUGUGACUGAAAAUAUAUGUACAAAUCCAAAAUAUUCCUUUUCCCUAAUGGUCACAUUUUGGUCAGUAUUAAAACCAUUUUCCUAGUUUCCUUGGUAUUAAUUUUGCAUUUUCUUUGUAUUUCAUUCUCACUACAAAAAUUUUGAAGUCAGACAAUGUAGGUUGAAAUCCCUUCUCUCUAUGACUGAUAAGUAAUGCAACUUUCCUCUGUUUUGCUUUCUUUGUCUUGGAAAAUGAAGGAGAUUAAACUAUAUUCCUUCUGAGGUUCCAUUUGUCUCUUGAUUCAUGAUCAUGUUAUUUUUUUUUAAUUCUAAAAUGUCUUUUGCACUCACAUUCCCCUUUCUAUUGUUUCCUGAACAUUUGGUCUAGCCUUACUCACCUUUACCCAGAUUAUUGCUUCAGUCUCCUCAAUGGUCUUUCAGACCUUCUCCUUUUGAAUCCACAGUGUAUUGCACAUUCAGAAAAAUCUUAUUAAAACAUAUUUUUAUCCUGAUCUCUAUGACCUAUGACAUCAAAGCAUACACAUAAUAGAAUUUAUUUAGAGCAAGAAAAUACAUUAGAGAUAGUCUUCCAUUCCCUACAUAUAUUUCUAUAUAAAUGAGAAAUCUGAACCUUGGAUCCAGUGACCUCUGAUCUUAGAAUCCUGGAUGCAGUGUUACCUCACACUCCUUCCUCCCCAUCCAGAAUGUUCCAUCUACUAUCUUCUAACCAUCUGUUUCCCAUCCAUUUACUCCUUCAUUCAUUCAUGCAUACACACAUGGUUUAAACCUUACUAUACUUUCCAGUCUAGAACACUCUCUUCUAAUCGUAAUUCUACUCAUCCUUCAAGGACCAGCUCUUGUCCCAUUUCCCCUGCAAAAAAGCCCUGAAUAUCUCUACUCACACUGAUCAUCCUUAUUCCUCUUAACUCUGAUAGCUACUAUUAAACCACAUAAUUUAUAACUUGAUUAUAUUCUAUUUCACAUUUUAUUUCCUUAGCUAAAUUCAAGGUCAAGAAUCAUAUCUUACAAUUCCAUACUUCUCCUCCCUCUAAAGAAGUUAGUAUCGUGAUAGGCACAUAAAUACAAUCACAGAAUCAGACAAUGUUCUUAGCAUGGUGCCUAGAACAUUUUAGGUGCCUCAUAAAUGCUUACUGACAGACUAACUGAGCCACCAUCAGAGGGAUCUCAAAGGUCAUUUAAUCCAAAUAAUACAUAUAAAAGAAUCUCCUCUGUGACAUCUCCAACAAGUGUUCAUCUAGUCAUUGUCUGAAGGCAUUCAGUGAAGGGGAACCUAUUAAUUCCCAAGGCCGGCCAUGCUAUUUGGAGAAAGAUCUAAUUGUGAAAAGAUUUAAAAAAAUAAAUGAAUGUUACUUGAUGGAGCAUCCCCAAAUCGUUUUCUAUCACCUCUUCA